rnacentral:rRNA from 1 species
AGAGUUUGAUCCUGGCUCAGAACGAACGCUGGCGGCAGGCUUAACACAUGCAAGUCGAACGAUCCCUUCGGGGAUAGUGGCAGACGGGUGAGUAACACGUGGGAAUCUACCUGGUUCUUCGGGAUAACAGUUGGAAACGGCUGCUAAUACCGGAUACGCCCUUUUGGGGAAAGAUUUAUCGGAAUCAGAUGAGCCCGCGUAAGAUUAGCUAGAUGGUGGGGUAACGGCCUACCAUGGCGACGAUCUUUAGCUGGUCUGAGAGGACGACCAGCCACACUGGGACUGGGACACGGCCCAGACUCCUACGGGAGGCAGCAGUGGGGAAUUUUGGACAAUGGGGGAAACCCUGAUCCAGCCAUCCCGCGUGUGCGAUGAAGGCCUUCGGGUUGUAAAGCACUUUUGGCAGGGAAGAAACGGCGUCGGAUAAUACCUGGCGUCACUGACGGUACCUGCAGAAUAAGCACCGGCUAACUACGUGCCAGCAGCCGCGGUAAUACGUAGGGUGCAAGCGUUAAUCGGAAUUACUGGGCGUAAAGCGUGCGCAGGCGGUUCGGCAAGAAAGAUGUGAAAUCCCAGGGCUUAACCUUGGAACUGCAUUUUUAACUGCCGGGCUAGAGUAUGUCAGAGGGGGGUAGAAUUCCACGUGUAGCAGUGAAAUGCGUAGAUAUGUGGAGGAAUACCGAUGGCGAAGGCAGCCCCCUGGGAUAAUACUGACGCUCAUGCACGAAAGCGUGGGGAGCAAACAGGAUUAGAUACCCUGGUAGUCCACGCCCUAAACGAUGUCAACUAGCUGUUGGGGCCUUCGGGCCUUAGUAGCGCAGCUAACGCGCGAAGUUGACCGCCUGGGGAGUACGGCCGCAAGGUUAAAACUCAAAGGAAUUGACGGGGACCCGCACAAUCGGUGGAUGAUGUGGUUUAAUUCGAUGCAACGCGAAAAACCUUACCCWCCUUUGACAUGUAUGGAAUCCCGAAGAGAUUUGGGAGUGCUCGCAAGAGAKCCAUAACACAGGUGMUGCAUGKCUGUNGUCAGCUCGUGUCGUGAGGUGUUGGGUUAAGUCCCGCAACGAGCGCAACCCUUGCCAUCAGUUGCUACRAAAGGGCACUCUGAUGGGACUGCCGGUGACAAACCGGAGGAAGGUGGGGAUGACGUCAAGUCCUCAUGGCCCUUAUAGGUGGGGCUACACACGUCAUACAAUGGCUGGUACAAAGGGUUGCCAACCCGCGAGGGGGAGCCAAUCCCACAAAGCCAGUCGUAGUCCGGAUUGCAGGCUGCAACUCGCCUGCAUGAAGUCGGAAUCGCUAGUAAUCGUGGAUCAGCAUGUCACGGUGAAUAUGUUCCCGGGUMUUGUACACACCGCCCGUCACACCAUGGGAGCGGGUCUCACCAGAAGUAGGUAGCCUAACCGCAAGGAGGGCGCUUACCACGGUGGGGUUCGUGACUGGGGUGAAGUCGUAACAAGGUA